GACGUAGGGCGCGAGCGUUGUCCGGAUUUAUUGGGCGUAAAGAGCUCGUAGGCGGCUUGUUGCGUCGACCGUGAAAACCCGGGGCUCAACUUCGGGCCUGCAUUCGAUACGGGCAGACUAGAGUUCGGUAGGGGAGACUGGAAUUCCUGGUGUAGCGGUGAAAUGCGCAGAUAUCAGGAGGAACACCGGUGGCGAAGGCGGGUCGCUGGGCAGUUACUGACGCUGAGGAGCGAAAGCGUGGGGAGCGAACAGG
rnacentral:rRNA from 1 species